rnacentral:rRNA from 1 species
AUGGGGACAACAGUUGGAAACGACUGCUAAUACCCAAUGUGCCGAAAGGUAAAAGAUUUAUCGUCUGAAGAUGGGCUCGCGGCUGAUUAGCUAGUUGGUAAGGUAAAGGCUUACCAAGGCGACGAUCAGUAGCUGGUCUGAGAGGAUGAGCAGCCACACUGGAACUGAGAAACGGUCCAGACUCCUACGGGAGGCAGCAGUGGGGAAUUUUCCGCAAUGGGCGAAAGCCUGACGGAGCAAUACCGCGUGAGGGAGGAAGGUUCUUGGAUUGUAAACCUCUUUUCUAGGGGAAGAAAAAAAUGACGGUACCCUAGGAAUAAGCAUCGGCUAACUCCGUGCCAGCAGCCGCGGUAAUACGGAGGAUGCAAGCGUUAUCCGGAAUCAUUGGGCGUAAAGCGUCCGUAGGUGGUUUAUCAAGUCUGUCGUCAAAGAAUGGAGCUUAACUCCAUAGGGGCGGUGGAAACUGAGAGACUAGAGUAUGGUAGGGGUAGUGGGAAUUCCCAGUGUAGCGGUGAAAUGCGUAGAUAUUGGGAAGAACAUCGGUGGCGAAAGCGCACUACUGGGCCAAAACUGACACUGAGGGACGAAAGCUAGGGUAGCG